AUGACCUGGGCCCCUCUCCUCCUCGCGGUGCUCGUCCACGGCUCAGGUUCCCUGGUCCAGGCAGCGCUGACUCAGUCGCCGCCCUCGGUGUCAGCGAACCUGAGACAAACUGUCCAGAUCACCUGCUCUGGGCUUGAUAGCAGCUAUGGUGUUGGCUGGUACCAGCAGAAGGUCCCUGGCAGUGCUCCUGUCACUGUGAUCUAUGGUAGCAACCAGAGACCCUCGGACAUCCCUUCGCGAUUCUCCGGAUCCAAAUCCGGCUCCACGGGCACGUUAACCAUCACUGGGGUCCAACCCGAGGACGAGGCUGUCUAUUACUGUGGUAACUGGGACAGCAGCGGUAAUGAUGUUGUAGUGACAGAGAUGUGGAAGUGA